rnacentral:rRNA from 1 species
CAGUCGCCGCGGUAAUACGUAGGGUGCAAGCGUUAAUCGGAAUUACUGGGCGUAAAGCGUGCGCAGGCGGUUAUAUAAUACAGAUGUGAAAUCCCCGGGCUCAACCUGGGAACUGCAUUUGUGACUGUAUAGCUAGAGUACGGCAGAGGGGGAUGGAAUUCCGCGUGUAGCAGUGAAAUGCGUAGAUAUGCGGAGGAACACCGAUGGCGAAGGCAAUCCCCUGGGCCUGUACUGACGCUCAUGCACGAAAGCGUGGGGAGCAAACAGGAUUAGAUACCCCUGUAGUCCCUGUCUCUUAUAA